GGCCUACCAUGGUGGUAACGGGUAACGGGGUGUUGGGGCACGACACCGGAGAGGGAGCCUGAGAAACGGCUACCACAUCCAAGGAUGGCAGCAGGCGCGCAAAUUACCCAAUCCCGACACGGGGAGGUAGUGACAAUAAAUAACAAUACGGGGCUCUUUUGGGUCUCGUAAUUGGAAUGAGUACAAUUUAAAUCUCUUAACGAGGAACAAUUGGAGGGCAAGUCUGGUGCCAGCAGCCGCGGUAAUUCCAGCUCCAAUAGCGUAUAUUAAAGUUGUUGCAGUUAAAAAGCUCGUAGUUGAAUUUCGGGGUCAGCAGGUUGGUCGUGCCACUGGUAUGCACUGGCUUCGCUGAUUCCUCCUUUCUGAAGAACUGUAAUGCCAUUAAUUUGGUGUUGCAGGGAAACAGAACUGUUACUUUGAAAAAAUUAGAGUGUUUAAAGCAGGCUAACGCUUGAAUACAUUAGCAUGGAAUAAUGAAAUAGGACGUUUGAUCCUAUUUUGUUGGUUUCUAGGAUUGACGUAAUGAUUAAUAGGGAUAGUUGGGGGCAUUAGUAUUCAAUUGUCAGAGGUGAAAUUCUUGGAUUUAUUGAAGACUAACUACUGCGAAAGCAUUUGCCAAGGAUGUUUUCAUUAAUCAAGAACGAAAGUUAGGGGAUCGAAGACGAUCAGAUACCGUCGUAGUCUUAACCAUAAACUAUGCCGACUAGGGAUCGGAUGAUGUUAAUUUUUUAAUGACUCAUUCGGCGCCUUACG
rnacentral:rRNA from 1 species